rnacentral:miRNA from 25 species
GUGAAUUACCAUAGGGCCAUAA